rnacentral:rRNA from 1 species
UGUGAUAAGGGUUCGGUUGUAAAACAGUGUGUGAGAGAAGAAUGACACUGAGAGUACUGUUCAGGGUGUGACGGUUUUUACCAAAAGGAACGGCUAAAUACGUGCCAGCAGCCCGCGGUAAUACGUGUUUCCAGCGUUUUCCGGAUUUAUUGGCGUUAAAGCGAGCGCAGACGGUUGUUUAAGUCUGAAGUGAAAGCCCACAGCUUAACUGUGGAAGUGCUUUGGAAACUGGAUAACUUGAGUGCAGUAGAGGAGAGUGGAACUUCCAUGUGUAGCGGUGAAAUGCGUAGAUAUAUGGAAAGAACACCAGUGGCGAAGGCGGCUCUCUGGACUGUAACUGACGUUGAGGCUCGAAAGUGUGGGUAGCAAACAGGAUUAGAUACCCUGGUAGUCCACACCGUAAACGAUGAGUGCUAGAUGUUUGAGGGUUUCCGCCCUUAAGUGUCGCAGCUAACGCAUUAAGCACUCCGCCUGGGGAGUACGACCGCAAGGUUGAAACUCAAAGGAAUUGACGGGGACCCGCACAAGCGGUGGAGCAUGUGGUUUAAUUCGAAGCAACGCGAAGAACCUUACCAGCUCUUGACAUCCUUUGACCACUUCAGAGAUGAAGCUUUCCCUUCGGGGACAAAGUGACAGGUGGUGCAUGGUUGUCGUCAGCUCGUGUCGUGAGAUGUUGGGUUAAGUCCCGCAACGAGCGCAACCCUUAUUACUAGUUGCCAGCAUUUAGUUGGGCACUCUAGUGAGACUGCCGGUGACAAACCGGAGGAAGGUGGGGAUGACGUCAAAUCAUCAUGCCCCUUAUGAGCUGGGCUACACACGUGCUACAAUGGCAAGUACAACGAGCAGCUAACCCGCGAGGGUACGCGAAUCUCUUAAAACUUGUCUCAGUUCGGAUUGUAGGCUGCAACUCGCCUACAUGAAGUCGGAAUCGCUAGUAAUCGCAGAUCAGCACGCCGCGGUGAAUACGUUCCCGGGCCUUGUACACACCGCCC